rnacentral:lncRNA from 1 species
ACUUCAGUUCCAUAAAUGGCUGCCUACAGAGGAAAGCUUCACAUGUGCCUAAAAACUCCCUCCAGAUCGUCAUCAGCCCGUAUUCAACCACAAGGAGGUCUUUCAAUCUGAAACUCCAGAGAUAUUAAUAUCUAUUGCUGUACAAGCCAGCCCAGUUCUGGGAAGGAAGGAAGGGAAGGGAAUGUGUGAAGACAAGAGUGAGUGGUGGGUGGGGAGGACUGUUCUGUACAUGUUCCUAUCACUUUAGUAGCUCAUCAAAGAGAGCAAACGUCAGCACCUCUUGAUUUGGUUUUGACUCCCCCAGAUUUCUACAAUUUCAGAUUCUUGUUUUAAGUGCCAGUAAAACCUUUUCCCUUGGGGCUAGGGAACUGUGCAAAGGAAAUAAUAAUACUGGCAGAGUGAUUUGUUAGGUGUUCAAUGGUGCUAAAUCCUUAUAAGCAAAAGCUCUCCCUACCUCCACCUAUUUGUGCCCUCCCUAUGCCCACAUACCAGCCAAUCUGGAAAUGAGGAAAAACACUACAAAAGAGGAAAGGCAGACUCAGCCCCUCUCUAGGGACCUUGGUGCCAGCUACAAAGGAAAGACCACUACAGAGGUAAAAAAAGAAUCUUUCUCCUGUCUUUGCCACCCACUCCCCCAAUCAUGCUCUUAAGACUUAAAGCCACAAGUCAACAGAGCAUCUCCACAUUGUUCUUUUUCCCUUUUCAUUCGGAUUGCAAAAUAAUCA